CGUCACGUCCGGAUAAACAAAUGCGCUGAGGUCCGCGCGUAUAUUUUGUAGCUUGAUUUCUAUGAUAAACAUGCUAUAUGGAAAGGUAAAUGCGAUUGAAAUGAAUAAAAUACAAUCCAUACUUACUAUCAAAACCGACGAUUCGGGUUGACAACGAGAAAUAUGCGUAAAAUAGCGAUACAACUAUAGCUGGAGUCAAUCUGGGUCGCAAGACGCACAUAAAAGAUAUAUCAAUAUUGAUGAACAUACAUGUAGAACAUCAGACUUGUAACAUUGGCAGCCUGUACCUUCACCAGAACAGACCAGAUCCCUUACAAGACAGGAAGUGUGUGUCCAGCAAAGCAUUCAAUGGUUGAAGCUCUAAUAUCAGCUUGGGUGGAAAGAACAAUGAAGAUACAGAACAGACAUAAGUUAAUGAGAUAUGAUAAACUGGAAGCUCCAUGAGGAUGUUAUACAAGAAUAUGGUUGUAAGUGGUGUUAGUACAGACACAGAAGAGAGAAAGCGGAUAAAAAUCUGCAGUUCAGAGGGAUGAAAAUCUGAUCUGAUACUUUGUUGUGAAAAGGGUAAAAUUCAUAUGGAACUCUGAAGAAGACAAAUACCAGAAACUUAGAGGGUUAGAAGUUAACAAUACAUGUUCAUACUUCCAUGAGGCGAAAGGUUUGAGCUGCGAACACCAAAGCAAAAGAUUACAGGUCCAGAGUAUGAUAGGGAUUUGCAAAAGAAUUCUAUGUGUGGUUUGGGGACAGCCAGGUUAGCAUCAUCUCUGGAUCUAAGUUCAAGCUCACAUGAAUUUUGCAGUGAAAUGUAUGAAGUUCAGUUGUAAUGGUAAUGAGAUGCAGGUCUUUGACCUACAUGGUGAGGGAAACAGUGUAUGGCAUUUUUGGAAAACAUGUAUUAGAAGAUUUCCCAGACAUGGAGCUGGUGGACAUAGCUCAGAGUUGUGAGCCUGCUCUCAAGGCAUAUGAUAGCGAUUUGGCGGUUGAAUCCAUACAAUUAGAGUGGAUCAGGUGUAAGAGGGAAAUUUACCACAGCAGAAAAGUUGAUGCCAUUGCAAAAACUGACCUGGCAAGACCUGUAGGACUGUAUGCAGCCCAAAUAUCCAAACCUAUUCACCUUAAUUGAAUGCUGUUUACUCUCCCUUCUAGCUCUGUGGAUGCAGAGCUAGGAUUCUCAAGCCUGCCAAAUUCACCAAUCGCAGUCUGAGUAUCGACACAGAUGAUGUGUUUCUAAUUGCCGGAGAACUUGACGUGGCUAGGAAAGGUGUAUGUGAUGAUGAUGGUGACAAUGACGACGAUGCCACUGAUGAUGAGGACUACAUGCACAGACAAGACUUCAUUGCUGUCAAAACAGAGCUUAUAGACUUAUGAUGGACCUUGUUGAAUAAUAAUUACUAAAAAUAUACAUGGAAUGAUACUUGAGUAAAGUUGAAUAAUAUGACUAAGUUUACUUAAAUUGCUCAACAGGCAGUAGAACCACUUGAAAUCUUGUCGGACCAGCAGUUUGCAAAGUUCCUGGUCCUUUGGGCCACCACAUAAAAAAAAGUUACUGUCUUGUCCUGAACGAGUCGACGACUGAGCUUGACCUGCUGAACAGAUUAUGGCACCAUUAACUAGUAUUUGUUGUAGUGUGCCAUUAAAAGCAUUUGUCCAUUUAGCAUUGGAUUAUGUGGGACCUUUCAUUACUGUCCAAGGUCGAGGAAAACAGUCUGAAAUAAGAUAUUUAUGUCUGUUUACUUGUCUGAACACAUGGACUGUUCAUCUUGAAAUCUCAUUUGGAAUAGAUACUGAUGCAUUUCAAAUUCAUUUUAUCAGUUUGCUGGUCGUAGAGGUCUUCCAGGAACAGUUCUGUCGGAUAAUGGAACAAACUUUGUCGAUAGUGAAAAGGAACUCAGAUAAUUAGUAAACGCACUGAAUCAUGAUCAGAUAAAAGAAAAGACAGCAAAUAAAGGAGUUCAGUGGCAUUUCAUUCCUACAUUAGCGCCACAUUGGGGAGGUGUACAUGAAAUCAUUGUGAAAAGUGCUAAACGAGCCAUGAAUUACAUGUUACAGAAUGCUUCAGUGUCAGAUGAGGAAUUUAUGACCGCAUUUGUAGGAGCAGAAGCUCUUAUCAGUUUGAAACCGCUUAUUUAUCAGUCAGCUAACCCUGCUGAUUGCAUUCCUCUUACUCCAAAUCAUUUCCAAGAUGGACAAAUAGGAGGAGAGUUCGCUCCUGAGAGCCUUGAUACAAAUGAUUUCAGCCCUAGAAAUGGUGCGAGUUCAAGAGUUAGUGCGAAACUUUUGGGGUUGUUGGAUUCGUGAGUGGUUGCCAAACCUAUGUACCUCCAAGAAAUGGAACAGAGUUUGACCAGAUCUGAAAGUUGGAGAAGUCGUUAUUAUGGUAUAACCUGGCGUGCGUCGAGCACAUUUGCCUUUAGGUUGUGUUACACACGCUCAUACAAGUCACGAUGUUCAUGUGAGAGCAGUAAACAUUUUAGUAAAUGGUAAAGAAAAAACACAGCCCAUUACAAAGUUAUGCCCAUUAGAAAUUAACAACAGUGAUUAACAGUAAUGUGUUAUGCAGAAAUAUUGCAUUUUAUAUGGCAAAUAGCGUAAAUAUUCUCGCAUGUGGAGGGCAUAAUAAUCCCUCAAAAUGAUUUCGUGUGUGGAGGGCAUAAUAAUCCCUCAAAAAUAAUUCUGUGUGUGGAGGGCAUAAUAAUCCCUCAAAAAUAAUAUUGCUUGUGGAGGGCAUAAUACUCCCUCAAA